UACGAAGGGGGCUAGCGUUGCUCGGAAUGACUGGGCGUAAAGGGCGCGUAGGCGGAUGGCACAGUCAGAUGUGAAAUUCCUGGGCUUAACCUGGGGGCUGCAUUUGAUACGUGUGAUCUAGAGUGAGGAAGGGGUUGUGGAAUUCCCAGUGUAGAGGUGAAAUUCGUAGAUAUUGGGAAGAACACCGGUGGCGAAGGCGGCGACCUGGUCCUUAACUGACGCUGAGGCGCGAAAGCGUGGGGAGCAAACAGG
rnacentral:rRNA from 1 species